ensembl:lncRNA
GGGAACGACGACUGGAAUGUUUUAAGUUUCUACUUGUGCCUGACAUAGUAGGCAGAUACAUAUGGGGUAACUGUUUCCCAGGAAACGACAGCAGGGCUCUGAAAGAAAAAGGGAGCCGUCAAAGUAAAUAAUGCUGGUGGUGAAAAUCCCCUGCAAUGUUUGUUAAAGGUGAGACUGACUUUGCUCCAAAAUAAGAAAGAACUGCUACUCACAGAGGGAAACUAGCAUGGAUUUUACUUUCUGGAACCAUGAUAUGCCUGAAGCAGCAACACAGUGGCAAUUCCAGAGGGGUAGGAGCUCUGCUACCAUGCAAUGACACUGUAAUUACAAAAUAAGGGAAAAUUAGAAGUAGUACAAGUGUGCAGAACUAGCUCUGGUUGUGAGUUGUCAAAGAAAGCAAUGUAGCUGAUCUCAAAGGAACAUGGAAAGGCAAUGACACAAAGACAACUUUGUAGCAGACUGCUGCACCUGUUGCUUGCUUGCCACCUUAGAAGUCAGAGACCUCACACUGGGACCAAUUAAAACAGAACAAGUUAAUAACUUACAGACAUACUUAAGGUUGCUAAACUGAUGCACGAAGGAGUACAUUACUGAAGGUGAAUGUUUUCUUGGGGAUCUUAAAAGCAUCAGAGUAUCGUAAAGGCAUUUAGGUGUGCUGAGCUUGAUAAAGAGGAGAUCCUGUUUGGCGGGUACUUUGCUGCUACAAUUUCUGAAAGCCAUGGGAAUGAGGGAGGGCAUUGGAAUUUUGUAUAUAAAGCAUCCAGGCUUGAAAGUGGCAAUAGCAGCAGCACUGCCCAUUUGCAGCAGAGGAGAGUACUGGAAACACCUCUGUGUUUAGGGCAUGCAUCAUGUUUCUGACAGCACUGUUGCUCAUCUUCUACAGUUGUCUGCAAUGUGCUGGUAAGUCUAAAAUGUCCACUUUCUUAUCUAUGUAUGAUUUGAAGGAAAACGUGUAUUGUGACAAAGUAGGAAACUCCACUGCAAAAUCACAACAAAUAAUAGUACAAUUCAAGUGUUACUCUCCUUUCUCCUGACCAUCAG